UCGAUCGGGCGAGGCCUUUGGCCUGCCGUCAAAUGAGAGAUGAAAUGUCGGGGACCCAGGCUCAAGUCGUGCUGCUGUUGUGUGGAUUUGCGGGCAGGCUGCUUUUUCCUGGCGCUAUUCGAGAUUUUCUCAUCGAUCUUGGGCUUCUUCGUGGGCGAAGAUGGUCGCCUGUUGCUGAUCGGCCGAGCUGCCUAUAUGCUGCAUUUCAUUGGAUCGAUUUUUCUUCUGAUGAGCAGCCUUUUGCAGAUCGAAGUUCUGGUCGUCAUCUAUAUAGUGACGAAUACAGUCCAUCUGAUCUUUUGCACUGCCUUUGUCAUUGAUUACGCCUUGAGUUGCGGAUUUUGCGCAUUGGAAACCAUUCCAGUUUUUUUGACCCUAAUUCUCAGCCUCUAUUUUUGGUUGGUGGCGUUUUCAUAUUGGCGACGCCUUCAAUGGGAACACAAUCCUGAAAACGACGACUGAGGCCAAGAAGGGGUAUCGCUUAUUCUGGAUCUUGGAGUGUUUAUUCUCUGCCUUCAUGUUUAUUUUGACAAAGAAGAAAACGAAAAGAGCAAAGUUCCGCAAAUUGUUUGUCCAGAGAAAUAUUUUGUAUUCGUUGCCGAGGAAGAAGCAAAUGAAUUGCAGGCAAUCAGAAUCGGAGGGAGGGGAAACUAUUUUCCAGCGUGGUUUUCCUUCUCGAAAGGCAACCCAAUCACUUCAUUCCCGGGCAAUUUUCAAUCACGUGCUAACUGCUGCCAGACAGAAAAGAGUCGAUUUGUCUGCCCUGCCACGUUAGCGUGCAAUGCAAUGUCGAGAGGGGAAAACUCGGAAAAUCGGAGGAAAAACUGGAGCUGAUUUGUGUGCUGCAUAAUUUUCCGUGCCACAAAAGAAGGGGGAGCAGCAGCCCAUCAAGUGGCAAAACUAUUUGCCCUAUCACGUACAAAUUAAAAAUGUGAAAUGUUUCAAUUUCUGUUGGUCUGUCAGUCUUCUCUGU